UACAGAGGACCCGAGCGUUGUUCGGAUUCAUUGGGCGUAAAGGGUGCGUAGGCGGUUUUGUAAGUUUGAUGUGAAAUCCCGGGGCUCAACCCUGGAAUUGCAUUGAAUACUGAAGAACUAGAGAUCUGGAGAGGAAACUGGAAUUUACGGUGUAGCAGUGAAAUGCGUAGAGAUCGUAAGGAAGACCAGUGGCGAAGGCGAGUUUCUGGACAGAUACUGACGCUGAGGCACGAAGGCCAGGGGAGCAAACGGG
rnacentral:rRNA from 1 species